rnacentral:rRNA from 1 species
GAUGAACGCUGGCGGCGUGCCUAAUACAUGCAAGUCGAGCGAAUGGAUUAAGAGCUUGCUCCUAUGAAGUUAGCGGCGGACGGGUGAGUAACACGUGGGUAACCUGCCCAUAAGACUGGGAUAACUCCGGGAAACCGGGGCUAAUACCGGAUAACAUUUUGAACCGCAUGGUUCGAAAUUGAAAGGCGGCUUCGGCUGUCACUUAUGGAUGGACCCGCGUCGCAUUAGGUAGUUGGUGAGGUAACGGCUCACCAAGGCAACGAUGCGUAGCCGACCUGAGAGGGUGAUCGGCCACACUGGGACUGAGACACGGCCCAGACUCCUACGGGAGGCAGCAGUAGGGAAUCUUCCGCAAUGGACGAAAGUCUGACGGAGCAACGCCGCGUGAGUGAUGAAGGCUUUCGGGUCGUAAAACUCUGUUGUUAGGGAAGAACAAGUGCUAGUUGAAUAAGCUGGCACCUUGACGGUACCUAACCAGAAAGCCACGGCUAACUACGUGCCAGCAGCCGCGGUAA